rnacentral:sRNA from 12 species
AGCGACGUAUAGAUUAGCAAUCUAUACAUAUAGCCGCCAUGGCUUGACAUGAUAUAGCCGAAGUACAGGAUGACCGCCUCGUAAGCAUGUCAGUAAGUCCCAAGA